GCGUGCGCAGGGGUCCAACGUGCGCGUCACCGAGCAAUUAGCGGGAAACACACACACACACACACACACACACACACACACACACACACACACACACAGACACACACAGAGUCAGAACCUACAGCACGCAUUUCUCUUCAUCACUGAAAGGAUUUCGGAAGUGAGAGACGCUCGCGCGCACUUACACCAAUACAACUGGACCAACAACAGGAGAUAUACACUGACAUUUUUGUAAGACUAUAUUUUUUUUUGUUCCAAACUGAACAAUUUGGGAUAAGAGGUGUGGAAAAAUCCAGCACAGGUGAUCAAAGAUCCACAUCCAAAGAGCCUCAUCAUCCCGAACACAUGUUGAAGCAGAAUCUACACGAGGGUAAACUGAUGAGGACUGAGAGCAGAUGUGUAGCUACAGGGCUGGAUUUUGAAAUUGUGAAAUAUUACAUCAGUUCCAAAUGCCGGAGAUUAUAACUGAUUACACGGGCAUCUAGUUAUGUUUUGUGCAGUACUUGGGCUUUUAUUCUUAUUAAAUUCAAAUUCAACUUUUAUUUGUUACCUACACAAUCAUACACAGUAUGACAUGUAGUGAAAUGCUUUUUAUGAUUGGUAUAAAAAGGUUCAAUUCAAUUUUAUAGUAAUUGUAUUCUAUAGCGCUUUUAACAGUGGACAUUGGUAUUUAGCCCCAAUGAACAAGACUAAGGUGACUGAGGUGACUGUAGUGAGGAGAAACUCCUUUAGAUGGAAGAACCAGACCCGAAAGUGAACCUCGUCCUUAUUUGGGUGGCACUGGAGGGUGUGAUUAUAAAUUGUUAUAAACACUAGAUAGUGUUAUUAUGAAUAAUGUCCGUUCUACAAUCAUAUACAGUCUGACAAUUGUAUAUUGAUUAGGAGGUUGUUGUCCUCAAAGACUACAUGGAGUAGGCAGCUUCUCUUUGAAUGUCCAGUCAUCGUUACAGUUCCAUGCACACAAACACUUUGUUUAAUGACCAGGAUCCUAAAAAUCCCGAACGUUAUCAAUACAUCAUUUGAAAUAUUUAGAACUCACAGUGAUGCUCACAGCUCCAGUGGUUUUCUCUGUGGGUGAACGAGGAUGAUGCUGAACAAUUCCAGGAUAUGCUUUUUUUUCAUUGGUUGUUGUUGCGUUAAAUCUUACCCAGAUAGAAUAGUGCUGUUUUCUGAUUGGCUAUUGUGUAGCCUCUUUUUUGAUUGGCUGAUAAGUGGCAGGCUCGACAUUUUGGGCGCUGUGGCUUAUUAAAUAUAUGAUAAAUAGUCAAAAAAAAUUUCUGCGUGAGAAAUACAAUGCGUGAUACUUGAGAGCCCUGAUAAUAUGAUAAAUGAUAAUAUGACGUUGUAGCUGAGGACUGAGAAGGGAUGAGAAGCAGGCUAACACUUAUCACUGUGUUCAUGACGAAUGUGUCAAUUUAUUCUCAGUUAAAGAAUAAGAUCCUAUUUACUUACACUAGCUUAAUAAUUGCUAACAGAACACUUGCUUAUCUCUUCAAA